rnacentral:rRNA from 1 species
GACGAACGCUGGCGGCGUGCUUAACACAUGCAAGUCGAACGGAAAGGCCCUGCUUUUGUGGGGUGCUCGAGUGGCGAACGGGUGAGUAACACGUGAGUAACCUGCCCUUGACUUUGGGAUAACUUCAGGAAACUGGGGCUAAUACCGGAUAGGAGCUCCUGCUGCAUGGUGGGGGUUGGAAAGUUUCGGCGGUUGGGGAUGGACUCGCGGCUUAUCAGCUUGUUGGUGGGGUAGUGGCUUACCAAGGCUUUGACGGGUAGCCGGCCUGAGAGGGUGACCGGCCACAUUGGGACUGAGAUACGGCCCAGACUCCUACGGGAGGCAGCAGUGGGGAAUAUUGCACAAUGGGCGGAAGCCUGAUGCAGCAACGCCGCGUGCGGGAUGACGGCCUUCGGGUUGUAAACCGCUUUCGCCUGUUACGAAGCGUGAGUGACGGUAAUUGGUAAAGAAGCACCGGCUAACUACGUG